rnacentral:rRNA from 1 species
AGUGGCGGACGGGUGAGUAUAACAUAGGAAUUUGCCUUCGAGUGGGGGACAACUUGAGGAAACUCAAGCUAAUACCGCAUAUUCCCUACGGGGGAAAGCAUGGGAUCGCAAGACCAUGCGCUCGAAGAGAAGCCUAUGCCGGAUUAGCUAGUUGGUAGGGUAAUGGCCUACCAAGGCGAUGAUCCGUAGCUGGUCUGAGAGGAUGAUCAGCCACACUGGGACUGAGACACGGCCCAGACUCCUACGGGAGGCAGCAGUGGGGAAUAUUGGACAAUGGGCGAAAGCCUGAUCCAGCAAUGCCGCGUGUGUGAAGAAGGCCUGAGGGUUGUAAAGCACUUUCAGAGGGGAGGAAGGCAUUAGCUCUAAUAGAGCUGAUGAUUGACGUUACCUUCAGAAGAAGCACCGGCUAACUCUGUGCCAGCAGCCGCGGUAAUACAGAGGGUGCAAGCGUUAAUCGGAAUUACUGGGCGUAAAGGGUGUGUAGGUGGUAAUGUAAGUUAGGUGUGAAAUCCUCGGGCUUAACCUGAGAAUUGCGCUUAAUACUGCAUUUCUAGAGUACUGCAGAGGGCAGUGGAAUUUCCAGUGUAGCGGUGAAAUGCGUAGAUAUUGGAAGGAACACCAGUGGCGAAGGCGACUGCCUGGAUAGAUACUGACACUGAGACACGAAAGCGUGGGUAGCAAACAGGAUUAGAUACCCUGGUAGUCCACGCUGUAAACGAUGAGAACUUGC